AUAACACUUUCUCAGGCUUUUAAAGUGUGAUAUGCGUUCAGAAAAAAUGCAGGAAUCCUAUCCACAGAGUUUGCUAAAGGUUUGCAAAAGCUCACUGCAAACAGCGCGAGGUUAUUCUCAUCAGGAGCCUACCUCACACCUAUCCUUACGCCCUCACCACAGCCCAGUGCCUCUGGCCUGAGAUCCAGCUAACACAUAUUAGGCAAAUGCCCUACCACUAAGUUAACACCACCAGCUUGGGGGUGGGGGUGGGGGUGGGGGUGGGGAUUCAAUCCAGCUACCUAACCUUUUUUGUCUUCUUACUUCCAGAAGAGGCUCUGUACCCACAAACUCCAUCUCCCGAUCUCAGCUCCAGGCAGCCACCAUUCUAUUUCCUGUCUCCAUGAGUGUGCCUACUCCAGGGGCCCCACUUUACUGCAGUCAGAGGAUGGAACUCAGGCCACCAGGCUUGGUGACAAGCAUCUCUGUCCCCUGAAUCAUUUUCACCUUUGGAGACCCCACCUUCGGCUUCCCAGCAUCUGUCUUUCCUUGUUCUUCAGAGUUGUGGGACCGUUCAGUUCAUACCCUAGUGUUUGCCUUUCUGACUUCAGCAACAACUUCCACUUCAAACUGAGUUUGUGAAAUUCGGUUUUUCUUGGUGUAUGGGUGUAGCAUCCUCCUCUCUCUCUCUCUCUCUCUCUCUCUCUGUGUGUGUGUGUGUGUGUGUGUGUGUGUGUGUGUGUGUGUGUGUGUGUGUGAUAAUGCUAGAGAUAAUUCCCAGGGCCUUG
rnacentral:lncRNA from 1 species